GUUUAAUUAUUUACAACGCUUUGUUCGUGCAUCUUCCAUAUGAGGCUAUAAAAAGGCAACGAGGGCAAUGGUUCUCUCAAGUUCACUAUUAUGCAAAAGGAUGAAUAAGAUGAAGUUGAGUUGAGAGAAGACACGACAAGGAGAGCAGCUCGAGCCCAUCCAUCAUCUUCAGCAACAAGUUCCUAGACAUACAUACAUGUCUCCCACACACCCCUUGCUUGCAAUUACCAAUAUAUCCUCAUUUAUUCACUUCCGUAAAAUAAGAUACCAAUGUUUUUCUUCUAUGUAGUCUUUUAUUUUUCAUUUAUAGAUCGGUUAAUUAAUUAA